AUGACACCAGGACCCCCAAAAACUGGGACCCCCAAAGUGGGACCACCAAAGCGGGACUUCCAAACUGGGAUCCCCCCCAAAUUUGGGACAAUGACACCAGGACCCCCAAAGCGGGACCCCAACCUGGGACCCCCAACCUGGGACCCCCGAUGGCGGCGGCCGCCCUCGUGCCAUUGGCUGCUCACCCUGUGGGUCUCGGAAGGUGACGACGGCGGCCCCAUCGCGGCGCAGCCUCACGGCGCCCACUUUGCCGCCGGCGCUGCGGCGGUUCUCGAAGUAGAGCUCCAGGAGGUCGCGCGGCGCCGCCGGCGGCAGCACCAAAACGGCGCCGGACUGCGGCAGGCGCUGCAGCACCGCGGCUCCCGGCAGCGCCGAGCGCAGCUGCUGCAGCUCUGCGGGAAACGGGGGCACGGAUGGAGAUGGGGCUACCAGCCCAGCUGUGGGGCUACCAGCCCAGCUGUGGGGCAACCAACACAGCUAUGGGGCAACCAACUCAUCUAUGGGGCACAGAGACCAUCUAUGGGGCACCCAACCCAUCUAUGGGGCUAUCAACCCACCUAUGGGCAACUAGCCCAGCUAUGGGGCAACCAGCCCAGCUAUGGGGCACCCAAUCCAUCAAUGGGGCAACCAACCAUCUAUGGGGCAACCAAUCCAUCUAUGGGGCAACCAGCCCAGCUAUGGGGCACCCAACCCAGCUAUGGGGCACCCAGUGCUGAUAUAUGGGGCAACCAACCCAUCUAUGGGGCACACAGCCCAUCUAUGGGGAUCUGUGCCCCAAUUCAUCUAUGGGGCAACCAACGCAGCUAUCGGGCAACUAACCCAUCUAUGGGGCACAGAGACCAUUUAUGGGGCACCCAACCCAUCUAUGGGGCACCCAACCCAUCUAUGGGGCUACCAACCCAGCUGUGGGACAACCAAUUCAUCUAUGGGGCAAGCAACCCAGCUAUGGGGCAAGCAACCCAGCUAUGGGGCACCCAAUCCAUCAAUGGGGCAACCAACCAUCUAUGGGGCAACCAAUCCAUCAAUGGGGUAACCAAUCCAUUUAUGGGGCACAGAGACCAUCUAUGGGGCAACCAAACCAGCUAUGGGGCAACCAGCCCAGCUGUGGGGCGCCCAAAGUCCUCUCUGUGGAAACCAACUCCACCUAUGGGGCGCACAGCCACAUCUAUGGGGCACCCAAUGGUGACCCAUGAGGACCCCAAAUACUGAGCGCCCAUCCUGACCCACGGGAACACGGCAUGGACCCCAAGCCCCGACCCAUAGGGACCCCACCCCAUAGGGACCCCAAACCCCGACCCAUAGGGGCCUCAUGAGGAGUCAGGAGCCGGACCCACAGAGACCCCAGA
rnacentral:lncRNA from 1 species